GGUUAAGCGACUAAGCGUACACGGUGGAUGCCCUGGCAGUCAGAGGCGAUGAAGGACGUGCUAAUCUGCGAAAAGCGUCGGUAAGGUGAUAUGAACCGUUAUAGCCGGCGAUGUCCGAAUGGGGAAACCCAGUGUGAUUCGUCACACUAUCGUUAACUGAAUACAUAGGUUAACGAGGCGAACCGGGGGAACUGAAACAUCUAAGUACCCCGAGGAAAAGAAAUCAACCGAGAUUCCCCCAGUAGCGGCGAGCGAACGGGGAGCAGCCCAGAGUCUGAAUCAGCUUGUGUGUUAGUGGAACGGUCUGGAAAGUCCGACGGUACAGGGUGAUAGUCCCGUACACCAAAAUGCACAGGCUGUGAACUCGAAGAGUAGGGCGGGACACGUGGUAUCCUGUCUGAAUAUGGGGGGACCAUCCUCCAAGGCUAAAUACUCCUGACUGACCGAUAGUGAACCAGUACCGUGAGGGAAAGGCGAAAAGAACCCCGGCGAGGGGAGUGAAAAAGAACCUGAAACCGUGUACGUACAAGCAGUAGGAGCACCUUUAUGGUGUGACUGCGUACCUUUUGUAUAAUGGGUCAGCGACUUAUAUUCUGUAGCAAGGUUAACCGUAUAGGGGAGCCGCAGGGAAACCGAGUCUUAACUGGGCGUUAAGUUGCAGGGUAUAGACCCGAAACCCGGUGAUCUAGCCAUGGGCAGGUUGAAGGUUGGGUAACACUAACUGGAGGACCGAACCGACUAAUGUUGAAAAAUUAGCGGAUGACUUGUGGCUGGGGGUGAAAGGCCAAUCAAACCGGGAGAUAGCUGGUUCUCCCCGAAAGCUAUUUAGGUAGCGCCUCGUGAACUCAUCUUCGGGGGUAGAGCACUGUUUCGGCUAGGGGGUCAUCCCGACUUACCAACCCGAUGCAAACUACGAAUACCGAAGAAUGUUAUCACGGGAGACACACGGCGGGUGCUAACGUCCGUCGUGAAGAGGGAAACAACCCAGACCGCCAGCUAAGGUCCCAAAGUCAUGGUUAAGUGGGAAACGAUGUGGGAAGGCACAGACAGCCAGGAUGUUGGCUUAGAAGCAGCCAUCAUUUAAAGAAAGCGUAAUAGCUCACUGGUCGAGUCGGCCUGCGCGGAAGAUGUAACGGGGCUAAACCAUGCACCGAAGCUGCGGCAGCGACACUAUGUGUUGUUGGGUAGGGGAGCGUUCUGUAAGCCUGCGAAGGUGGCCUGUGAGGGUUGCUGGAGGUAUCAGAAGUGCGAAUGCUGACAUAAGUAACGAUAAAGCGGGUGAAAAGCCCGCUCGCCGGAAGACCAAGGGUUCCUGUCCAACGUUAAUCGGGGCAGGGUGAGUCGACCCCUAAGGCGAGGCCGAAAGGCGUAGUCGAUGGGAAACAGGUUAAUAUUCCUGUACUUGGUGUUACUGCGAAGGGGGGACGGAGAAGGCUAUGUUAGCCGGGCGACGGUUGUCCCGGUUUAAGCAUGUAGGCUGGUUAUCCAGGCAAAUCCGGAUAAUCAAGGCUGAGGUGUGAUGACGAGGCACUACGGUGCUGAAGUAACAAAUGCCCUGCUUCCAGGAAAAGCCUCUAAGCAUCAGGUAACACGAAAUCGUACCCCAAACCGACACAGGUGGUCAGGUAGAGAAUACCAAGGCGCUUGAGAGAACUCGGGUGAAGGAACUAGGCAAAAUGGUGCCGUAACUUCGGGAGAAGGCACGCUGGUGUGUAGGUGAAGUCCCUGCGGAUGGAGCUGAGACCAGUCGAAGAUACCAGCUGGCUGCAACUGUUUAUUAAAAACACAGCACUGUGCAAACACGAAAGUGGACGUAUACGGUGUGACGCCUGCCCGGUGCCGGAAGGUUAAUUGAUGGGGUUAUCCGUAAGGAGAAGCUCUUGAUCGAAGCCCCGGUAAACGGCGGCCGUAACUAUAACGGUCCUAAGGUAGCGAAAUUCCUUGUCGGGUAAGUUCCGACCUGCACGAAUGGCGUAAUGAUGGCCAGGCUGUCUCCACCCGAGACUCAGUGAAAUUGAACUCGCUGUGAAGAUGCAGUGUACCCGCGGCAAGACGGAAAGACCCCGUGAACCUUUACUAUAGCUUGACACUGAACAUUGAGCCUUGAUGUGUAGGAUAGGUGGGAGGCUUUGAAGCGUGGACGCCAGUCUGCGUGGAGCCAACCUUGAAAUACCACCCUUUAAUGUUUGAUGUUCUAACGUUGGCCCCUUACCGGGGUUGCGGACAGUGUCUGGUGGGUAGUUUGACUGGGGCGGUCUCCUCCCAAAGCGUAACGGAGGAGCACGAAGGUUAGCUAAUCCUGGUCGGACAUCAGGAGGUUAGUGCAAUGGCAUAAGCUAGCUUGACUGCGAGCGUGACGGCGCGAGCAGGUGCGAAAGCAGGUCAUAGUGAUCCGGUGGUUCUGAAUGGAAGGGCCAUCGCUCAACGGAUAAAAGGUACUCCGGGGAUAACAGGCUGAUACCGCCCAAGAGUUCAUAUCGACGGCGGUGUUUGGCACCUCGAUGUCGGCUCAUCACAUCCUGGGGCUGAAGUAGGUCCCAAGGGUAUGGCUGUUCGCCAUUUAAAGUGGUACGCGAGCUGGGUUUAGAACGUCGUGAGACAGUUCGGUCCCUAUCUGCCGUGGGCGCUGGAGAAUUGAGGGGGGCUGCUCCUAGUACGAGAGGACCGGAGUGGACGCAUCACUGGUGUUCGGGUUGUCAUGCCAAUGGCACUGCCCGGUAGCUAAAUGCGGAAGAGAUAAGUGCUGAAAGCAUCUAAGCACGAAACUUGCCCCGAGAUGAGUUCUCCCUGAGACUUUAAGUCUCCUGAAGGAACGUUGAAGACGACGACGUUGAUAGGCCGGGUGUGUAAGCGCAGCGAUGCGUUGAGCUAACCGGUACUAAUGAACCGUGAGGCUUAACCUU
rnacentral:rRNA from 1 species